rnacentral:rRNA from 1 species
AACUACGUGCCAGCAGCCGCGGUAAUACGUAGGGGGCGAGCGUUAUCCGGAUUUAUUGGGCGUAAAGCGUGCGUAGACGGUUUAUUAAGUCCAGAAUUAAAGCCCGAGGCUUAACCUCGGUUCGUUCUGGAUACUGGUAGACUAGAGUAUGGUAGAGGCAAAUGGAAUUCCUAGUGUAGCGGUGGAAUGCGUAGAUAUUAGGAGGAACACCAGUGGCGAAGGCGGUUUGCUGGGCCAUUACUGACGUUGAGGUACGAAAGCGUGGGUAGCAAAUAGGAUUAGAUACCCUAGUAGUCCACGCUGUAAACGAUGAGCACUAAGUGUCGGGUUACCGGUGCUGAAGUUAACACAUUAAGUGCUCCGCCUGAGUAGUACGGUCGCAAGACUGAAACUCAAAGGAAUUGACGGGCACCCGCACAAGCGGUGGAGCAUGCCGUUUAAUUCGAAAAUACGCGAAAAACCUUACCUAGACUUGACAUCCCUGGCAAUGCUAUAGAAAUAUAGCGGAGGUUAUCCGGGUGACAGGUGGUGCAUGGUUGUCGUCAGCUCGUGUCGUGAGAUGUUCAGUUAAGUCUGCUAACGAGCGCAACCCUUGUCAAUAGUUGCUAACAUUUAGUUGAGAACUCUAUUGAGACUGCCGGUAUUAAACCGGAGGAAGGUGGGGAUGACGUCAAAUCAUCAUGCCCCUUACGUCUAGGGCUACAGGCGUGCUACAAUGGCCGAUACAAAAAGACGCGAAACCGUGAGGUGGAGCAAAUCUCUAAAAUCGGUCUCAGUUCGGAUUGGAGUCUGCAACUCGACUCCAUGAAGUUGGAAUCGCUAGUAAUCCCGAAUCAGAAUGUCGGGGUGAAUACGUUCCCGGGUGUUGUACACACCGCCCGUCACGCCAUGGGAGUCGGUAAUACCUGAAGUCGGUAGCCUAACCUUUUAGGAGGGGGCCGAUCAGGGUAGGAUCGAUGACUGGGGUGAAGUCGUAACAAGGCAUCCCUACGAGAACGUGGGGAUG